CUAAGAAUCUUCCGCAAUGGGCGAAAGCCUGACGGAGCGACGCCGCGUGGGUGAAGAAGGCCGAGAGGUUGUAAAGCCCUUUUCUGCAUGAGGAAUAAGCGUGGGAGGGAAUGCCCGCGUGAUGACGGUAGUGCAGGAAUAAGCCCCGGCCAAUUACGUGCCAGCAGCCGCGGUAACACGUAUGGGGCGAGCGUUGUUCGGAAUCAUUGGGCGUAAAGGGCGCGCAGGCGGCUGCGCAAGCCUGGUGUGAAAGACCGCAGCUUAACUGCGGAUACGCGCUGGGAACUGUGUGGCUUGAGUUCCGGAGGGGAAGCUGGAAUUCCUGGUGUAGGGGUGAAAUCUGUAGAUAUCAGGAAGAACAUCAGCGGCGAAGGCGAGCUUCUGGCCGUGAACUGACGCUGAGGCGCGAAAGCGUGGGGAGCGAACAGGAUUAGAUACCCUGGUAGUCCACGCCGUAAACGUUGUGCACUAGGUGUUAGACCGCUUGAAGGUUUAGUGCCGUAGCUAACGCGUUAAGUGCACCGCCUGGGGAGUAUGCCCGCAAGGGUG
rnacentral:rRNA from 1 species